rnacentral:tRNA from 1 species
GCAUAAGAAGCUCAAUGUCAGAGCGCCGGUCUUGUAAGCCGGAGGCUGGAGGUUAAAAUCCCCCCUUUUGCU